UACGAGGGGGGCGAGCGUUGUUCGGAUUCAUUGGGCGUAAAGGGUGCGUAGGCGGUCGCGCAAGUCGGAUGUGAAAUCUCAGGGCUCAACCCUGAAACUGCAUUCGAUACUGCGUGGCUAGAGUGCUGGAGAGGAGACUGGAAUUUACGGUGUAGCAGUGAAAUGCGUAGAUAUCGUAAGGAAGACCAGUGGCGAAGGCGAGUCUCUGGACAGCAACUGACGCUGAGGCACGAAGGCCAGGGGAGCAAACGGG
rnacentral:rRNA from 1 species